GUGGAGACGGGAGCGAUGCCGUGCGGGGCGGCCGGAGGCGGUGGUUAACCGCCGGUUGGCGGGGGAGCGAUUCCCCGCUCUCACCUGUAACACCUCCGGCUCUCCGCGGAGGGCUGCAGGCGCUGGAAGGAGCCGUACGCUCCCCACUGCAACAGCACAGCCCCCCGUGUACAAAACAAGAGGAGCGAAAAGGGGUAAGAACGGAGCCGUUUUCCGGCCCUGGAGCAGCCCCCGGGGUCCCGCCGCCUGCCCGCGUUCCUCAGGCUGCUGUUCCGCCUGCGGUGCUGAAGUGGGUUUGUUUUCCCAGCUGUUCUCCGGCCCCCAGGAUUUUGGAUGAGAUUUGGGACAUGAAGCCCACCAGUUCCAGCGCCAACCCCCUGCCUGGCCAUGCGCAGGGGGGUCCCGGGUUUUUCCCUAUGGAAUGGAGUGCAUGUUUCCCGCAGGAGCUCCCCUAAUUCUGCUCCCGAAACAGGGGGAUCACAGUGGUCAAGUGUAAGGUUGACACUGAUGCCUGUCACGCAUACCAUAAGCCAUAGGAGGGACCAGAGCUGCCCAGAUAGACCACCCGGGCCCAGUGCUGGUAUUGUCGGCAGAUCACCCUUAAAGGAGAAAGAAGCUGGAGCAGGGAUAUAAAGUAGUCUUCUAGGAGUACUGCCAGAACCGAUCUGUUUUUACUCUGCUGCUGCUGCUGUUGCUGUUCUGCUGUGUCAUGGGAAGAGAGUUACCUAGCCCACACCAACCCUCAGAAACAGCAAUGAGCCGCUUGCUGCAGACCCGAGCUGUGUUUCACAGAGCUGAAGGAUGAGUUUUCCUGGUGGAGGAUUUCGACUGGAAGAAGAAGGAUUCACUCCCUUGCUGGGCUCCGACACGGACAUCGCUGUUGGGAGAUUUGCAGGAGGCAGAGUGGCGGCGGCAGCACUGACAGCGCAGCAUCACACAGCUUUAUUUCAUGUUGUCGAGGCAAAAUGCUUUAGGUUACAGCUGAGGAGAAAAGCAAACGAUCCAUUUCUGUAAAUAGGGUUCUUUCUCCCCAAUUUACUUUAAAUUCUUGAAAGGUCUUGUGCUAAGAAAGAGCAGGAAUUCUGCCUCCUCUUAAAAAACAUUGUUAUAAAAUCUUUACAAUCUCCUUCCACCUGAGCCUGUUUCCUUCAAACACUUACUUUCAAAAACAGGAGGUUUAAAGGUGACUCUUCUCUUUUCCUUCCUAAGUUUAUAUUCUUUGGAAAGGCCUGAAGAAGCCAAAGGCUGUGUCUGCCUGUGAAUGAAGAAUUUUUGAGUAAACACCAGCAUUCACAUAUACACACAUGCACAGGAUUUAAAGCAUCCCGUUGAAGUGCACAUAUAGGAAAAUCUUUCAUCAUAUGGUAAGCUUUAAUAUCUGCCUCAAAAUUAAUCCCUGACUGAUGGACUCUGUUGUGGCAGAUCACAGGAGGUUCAGUACUGAGGUACCUCUGCAGGGCUUUAAAACAGCCAAAUAAAAUCCCCCCAUUUGCUUUUGGGUUAAUUUGUGGUUUAACAGCAGCUACCUGGGAAAUGCUCAUCUCGUGAAAGCAAGUGAGAAAACUUUAUAAGGCUCCAGUCCUAUUUCUUCCACAACGAAAUAAAGAUUUUUCUUGUGGGGUCAGGACAAGAUCUGAUGCUAUUCCAUGAGGAAAUGGUUAAAGCACCCUGCAGAGUUCUUCAGUUCCUCUGUUAGAGGUAACACCCCUGGGCUUUAUUAGAACUCGAGCUUCGGACAUGCUUCUGGUUACUUCUCAGCAUUGUCUUUGCUUCAUUUUGGUUAGUUUUUGUCACUGAAACCAAAUCUUCUCGUUUCACUUCUCUUUCUAAUUCAUUUCACUCUUUAGUUCCCACAUGUUAGAAAGUGCAGUUUCAUUUCGACUCUUGACAGCUGAAAGCCCCAUUCCAGAAAGCAAUUUGCAGCAAUGUAUUUGCUUUGCCACUCACUGCUCAAACAGAUCUAAGCAUAAACAAUGCUGACAGCCCCUCAAAACCAAACCCAAAUUGUGAAAUUGGGGCAAAUAGCCCAGAGAACCUGAAAUGUUUUGGGUUUAAAACACUGCCUGCUGUCAAAAAAGAGGGUAAAAUAAAGCUUUGUUUACGUGUAGAGCUCAGUGUUUGUUGAUCAAGUUUCUAAGGUGAUGCAGCAGGAAGUACUGAUCUUAGGCAAAAUGACAUGAACAAAGCAUGAAACUAUAAUUCAGCAGCUAUUUGUCAACUAAUAACAGGAAAAUAAAGGGUAUUUUAAAAGCA